GCCUGAAUCCAAAAAUUCUAUCCAACAACCAAACAACAAUAAUCCUGAUCUUUUGAGACAAUCCAGUAAUUUAUUUCCAAUAGCAGAGCCAAUAAAUGAGGUUUAAUACUCUAACGGAAAGAAAAAGAAAAAAAAAAUCAUAUUCUUGACAACAAAACUAGAAUGCAAACUAAAAGAUCAUUACCACCACUAAUAAAUCCUAAGCUACCCA
rnacentral:lncRNA from 1 species